rnacentral:rRNA from 1 species
AGCGAACGCUGGCGGCAGGCCUAACACAUGCAAGUCGAACGAAGUCUUCGGACUUAGUGGCGGACGGGUGAGUAACACGUGGGAACGUACCUUUUGGUUCGGAACAACUCAGGGAAACUUGAGCUAAUACCGGAUGAGCCCUUAGGGGGAAAGAUUUAUCGCCGAAAGAGCGGCCCGCGGUGGGUUAGCUAGUUGGUGAGGCAAAGGCUCACCAAGGCUACGAUCUAUAGCUGGUCUGAGAGGAUGAUCAGCCACACUGGGACUGAGACACGGCCCAGACUCCUACGGGAGGCAGCAGUGGGGAAUCUUGCGCAAUGGGCGAAAGCCUGACGCAGCCAUGCCGCGUGAAUGAUGAAGGUCUUAGGAUUGUAAAAUUCUUUUACCAGGGACGAUAAUGACGGUACCUGGAGAAAAAGCCCCGGCUAACUUCGUGCCAGCAGCCGCCGUAACAC